AUAUCUACUGACCUGGAGCAAUUAAUGUCUGUUGCUAAGGUUUCCACUACAGAUGAAAGGAAAAAAGUCCUCGCAUUUUCUGUCUGUCUGGUUGUAGCAGCCAAGAUCGAAUGUGAGAAUACAGGA
rnacentral:snoRNA from 1 species